ensembl:lncRNA
CCCCAAUCCUAUGGGCUAUUAUGGGAUGUGGGACCCCAACCCUAUGGGCUAUUAUGGGAUGUGGGGCCCCCAUGUGACCUCUGGACUAUGAUGGGAUGUGGGACCCCCAACCCUAUGGGCUAUUAUGGGAUGUGGGACCCCAACCCUAUGGGCUACGAUGGGACGUUGGGACCCCAAUCCUAUGGGCUAUUAUGGGAUGUGGGACCCCCAACCCUAUGGGCUAUUAUGGGAUGUUGGGGACCCCAACCCUAUGGGCUGUUAUGGGAUGUGGGGACCCCAAUCCUAUGGGCUAUUAUGGGAUGUUGGGGACCCCAUCCUAUGGGCUAUUAUGGGAUGCUGGGGACCCCACGUGACCUCUGGGCUAUUACGGGAUGUGCCCCGCUGUGGGUCGGCACUCACUGGCAGUGCAGCCCCCCAACCCUAUGGGCUAUGAUGGGAUGUGGGACCCCCAAUCCUAUGGGCUAUUAUGGGAUGUGGGACCCCCAACCCUAUGGGCUAUUAUGGGAUGUGGGACCCCAACCCUAUGGGCUAUUAUGGGAUGUGGGACCCCCAACCCUAUGGGCUAUGAUGGGAUGUGGGACCCCAACCCUAUGGGCUAUUAUGGGAUGUGGGACCCCCAAUCCUAUGGGCUAUUAUGGGACGUCGGGACCCCAAUCCUAUGGGCUAUGAUGGGAUGCUGGGGACCCCACGUGACCUCUGGGCUAUUAUGGGAUGUGCCCCGCUGUGGGUCGGCACUCACUGGCAGUGUGGGCCGGCGGUGGACACCCUGCAGUGGCCGCUGUUGCAGUCGAUGGUGUGGGCGGUGUUGGGGGCGCAGGCGGUGACGCAGCGCACGGUGGGGCCCGAAGUGACGGCGUAGUAAAAGGGCUGGAAGCCAACGGGGGCCAACGAGGAGCACAGAGCUGUGGGGUUAUAGGGCGGUUAUAGGGUCAGCUGGGGGGUUACGGGGUCAGCUGGGGGGUUAUGGGGUGGGUUAUGGGGUU